rnacentral:sRNA from 1 species
GGUUAAUCGGAGGUAGUAGAGGGAGACAGGGAUAAUUGGAGGGACAUAAUGGAAGGAGUGCAUUAGCGAGGGUCUGCGCAGGCGCACUUUACCCAGGGCUUCCUGUAAGUGGUCGCUUGCUGGGCAGAAUCUAUUUUCUCCCUGGGACACCCAUUACAGCUUCGCGGGAUAGAAACCAUGGUGCCCUGUUCUUGGCACUGAGGAGGAGCAAACUAAGGAAGAACUCCUAUGAAAUUAGGGUCUGGACUCCCCUUGGCUCUUUGCACAUAAUUUCCUUAACAGCUUGUUCAGCUGCACCCUUGAGCGCCACCUUCAGGUGAUGAGCUGAAUUUUCAGGAGAGGAUUCUGAGGAAUGGAGAAAAAAUAUGCCCAAGUGAAGCUGGCCAGGCCAGCCUUCUGUGACUUCCUAACCGAUAGUUCAGGAAGAGGAUGGGGCCAGGAUUGGAGACUUUAGUCGUACAAUAACAUUUGAAAAUGAACAUCUAACUAUGGCUGGAAGAUGACGAAGUGCUGACUUGGAAUUCUAUCCCGAAGCCGUCGGCUCUGAGCCUCACAGUGAGCUUGAGCUCUGCAAAGGGAGGCACUGGAUUAAAUGUGUGUGUGUUAGCCAUUCCUGUUUCCAGAAUGCCUAGGCUUUCUUCCUGUGCCAAGACCCACAUACAGUGACUAUAAUACAAGCAGGCUUUUAGAAAUGCAUAUAUUUUACAUCAUUUAUACUCAAUAAUUUAAAUGUCAGGAAAAUAUUUCUUUCCAUAAAAAUUCACAUAAGUAAAAUAUUGGAUGCCUUGAAUCACCCAAGGUUUGUCCACACCCUUUCCUUUGUGACGACUCAGGCAGUUGGCUCCCUUUCUGGGUCAUCCUGAGAGGAUGCUAAGGGACUGUCUGUCUCUCAUACGUAUUUGUAAGGUCUUCUAGCAUUUGGACUUAGAGUAGCCUCUUUGGAGUAUAUUUUCCUCUCUCAUUUGCAUGUAAAUAAUGUGAGCAUGACCUUGUAAAUUUCCCACAGGCUGUUUUUAGAAAUAGGUGCUGUCAUCCUGGGGUGGGUGGGUGAGAGGCUUUGCACCAUUCCUAAGCACAUCUAAUUCAAUUAACUCAGUUGGUUCGAGUGUGGUUUAAGACAUCCAAGGUCAAAGUAACUAAAGCUUUCAAGUUUGAAGAGAGAGCUUGAGUAUUCCAGACACCAAAAGGAUUGUGUUCCAAGACAGACACUGGUUGUACCGACACAGAUAAUCAUGGUAACAGAAAACUAUGAGAUGGGGCUUUAGUGUCUUUUAAUUUGACAAAAAAGCACCUAAAGAGGCCAUUCUCUGCAGCAUGGUGGCCCGGUCUACAGAGCCAGCUGACUUCCGAAGAACAGUGUUCUGUAUGAGUGCUUGACUAUUUUACACUAUUCCUGUACAUUGUAUGGUGUUCUCUCUCUCUCCUUACCCCUCCCUCUUCCUCCCCCACUCCCCACCCGUUUGCCCUUGCUGCCUGGUAUGCACAAGUCUCCUUGGAGGCCCCCACAGGCUGUGGUGCUGCUCUCAGGACUACAGAACCCUUUUCGUCAGCUCUGCCUGAUUUCUGUUGGGCUUCCCUGAGAUCCAGAUGUGUACUUGAGAUUUAUAGUUGUUUACUGGGGAAAGAAAGUUUCAUAUAAAACAGGAAAAGAAUUUUUCAUAUAAAGAAUAAAUAUUUGUGCUGGAGAUGGAGAAGCAAAUGCCUUGGCUGGACCUAGUUUCUGUGGCUAGCUGAAUGUCUGGUACAUAAUAAUGCCUCCUAUUCAUGACCUAACGGACAGGAUGGGCUCAGCAGAGUGUUGAAAGGCAUCAUUUUGAUUUUCACAAAACCUUGCAAAAUAGACACUGUUGUUAUCCAAGUCAGUGAGGAUGAAGAAACAGUCUCACCUCCAUCCAUUUCCCGCCCAAACUGGAUUACAUAUUUAUAAUUUUGUGAGUGAGUACUGAGCCUCAGGGUUGGAGUUCAAGUAUUCCUCUGAGCUUCCCUCCAGAAGGCUGCACUAACACUGGAGUUAGGCCUCCCAAGGCCAGUGUUGUUCGGUAGCAGCUGUAGCUGUGGGAAUAGCUUUUCUUGAACCUACCUUUCCUCUGCUCUCAUUGGCUUAGACUAGGCCAGAAACUCUAGACUAGUGGUUCUCAAUCUUCCUAAUCCUGUGACCCUUUAAUACAGUUCCUUAUGCUGUAGUGACCCCAAUUGUUUUCAUUGGUACUUCAUAACUGUUCUGUUAUGAUUCUUAAUGUAAAUAAUUUUGUAGAUAGAGGUUUGCCAAAGGGGUCAUGACCCACAGGUUAAGAGCCAGUGCUCUAGACAAUAGGAAUAUUGCCAUGAAGUGUCUUGUGCCUUUAGCACAUGUCACUGACUUAGUAAUGGAAUCCUGCAGCUAAUGAUAAUAGCCUUCUAUAGGACACCUGGGGACUCAUCUUUCUUAUUCUCUGCAGUCUUAUGUAUUGAAAGUGUUUUCUCUGAUUUUUUUUUAUUUUAAUGGGAGAUAUCAAAUUUAGGGUUUUGAUCAUGGUCCCUAAGCAUUCUCCCAUUGAGCUGCAUUCCUAACUCUUGAGGUAUCCCGUCCAUCACUUGUAAUACAUAUAUUAUUUUUCCAAUAAAAAAUCUUAUGUAUUAACUACUAAGUCAAUACAUUUUCAUCCCUGUCAUUUAUACACAUAAAGAUCUGAGGAAAGAAUUGGUUAGAAAUGCUUGGUUUUAAUAUCAACC